rnacentral:rRNA from 1 species
UACGGAGGGGGCUAGCGUUGUUCGGAAUUACUGGGCGUAAAGGGCGCGUAGGCGGCCCGCUAAGUCGAACGUGAAAUCCCCGAGCUCAACUCGGGAACUGCGUCCGAUACUGGUGGGCUUGAAUCCGGGAGAGGGAUGCGGAAUUCCAGGUGUAGCGGUGAAAUGCGUAGAUAUCUGGAGGAACACCGUUGGCGAAGGCGGCAUCCUGGACCGGCAUUGACGCUGAGGCGCGAAAGCUAGGGGAGCAAACGGG